rnacentral:rRNA from 1 species
UUCGCCCUUAGAGUUUGAUCCUGGCUCAGGAUGAACGCUGGCGGCGCGCCUAACACAUGCAAGUCGAACGGCACCCCUCUCCGGAGGGAAGCGAGUGGCGAACGGCUGAGUAACACGUGGAGAACCUGCCCCCUCCCCCGGGAUAGCCGCCCGAAAGGACGGGUAAUACCGGAUACCCCGGGGCGCCGCAUGGCACCCCGGCUAAAGCCCCGACGGGAGGGGAUGGCUCCGCGGCCCAUCAGGUAGACGGCGGGGUGACGGCCCACCGUGCCGACAAUGGGUAGCCGGGUUGAGAGACCGACCGGCCAGAUUGGGACUGAGACACGGCCCAGACUCCUACGGGAGGCAGCAGUGGGGAAUCUUGCGCAAUGGGGGGAACCCUGACGCAGCGACGCCGCGUGCGGGACGGAGGCCUUCGGGUCGUAAACCGCUUUCAGCAGGGAAGAGUCAAGACUGUACCUGCAGAAGAAGCCCCGGCUAACUACGUGCCAGCAGCCGCGGUAAUACGUAGGGGGCGAGCGUUAUCCGGAUUCAUUGGGCGUAAAGCGCGCGUAGGCGGCCCGGCAGGCCGGGGGUCGAAGCGGGGGGCUCAACCCCCCGAAGCCCCCGGAACCUCCGCGGCUUGGGUCCGGUAGGGGAGGGUGGAACACCCGGUGUAGCGGUGGAAUGCGCAGAUAUCGGGUGGAACACCGGUGGCGAAGGCGGCCCUCUGGGCCGAGACCGACGCUGAGGCGCGAAAGCUGGGGGAGCGAACAGGAUUAGAUACCCUGGUAGUCCCAGCCGU